rnacentral:lncRNA from 1 species
AUCCCGGUCCUUUUUGUUCUUGAUCUAAUUAAUUCCAAAUUGAAUUCAUUAAAUUGAAUUUCACCCAAUUUAAUCUCAACUACACAAUUAAGCAAAUUUCUAAUUUGCCCUUCACAUUUUACAAUUGUACAAAAUAAUUCAAAGUGCAUAUAUCAUAAAAUUACACUCAAUCUCAUCCCAAUUCACAAGAGCCGAAUAUUCACUAAACCUAUUCAAAACCUUACAUUUUAUUUAAUUUAAAAAUCUAGUCCCUCUCUAUUCAAAAAUUUUACAAAUUCGUUCCUUAUACACAAAAUCACAUAGAAAUCUUAUUACAACUUUAAAAGAAAAAUCUAACAUAUAACUUUCAUUUUCUAACAUUAACACCACCUAACUCAAGAAAUUUCUCCAUAGCUGAAUACCAUAAUAUGAAUUAAUUUCAAAAUUAACACAUGGGCUAUGUACAUAUCUUGACUAAAAGCUCAAAAUAUACUUUUUUAUCAAAAUCUAAACUAAAACUAACCUUGGAUUUUGGCUUUCCUUGACCGAAAGUGAGAAAGCUUUUCUCUUUUUCUUAUUCUUUAAUUUCGGCAAUAUGGAAGAACAUGCAAAAGGAAUGUUUCUUUCUUUUGUUUUUCUAUUAUAAAUUAAUUCAUAUUAUAAUUAACUAAUAUACUUUAUAAUAUAUAAAAUAUCAUAUAAAAUGAUCCAUCACCGUCCACUAAACUUAUUCAUGGCAUAAUUUCAUUUUAAACCCCUUUCUUUAAAAGACAUGCUAAUUUUAAUACUUAAUUAAAUAGCAUAUUUAUAAUCACUUGAUGCAAUUUGACCUCUUUUUAAUAAUCAAACAUUCAAACCGAACAAUUAAAUUAUGAAAAUUUAACACUCAUAAUUUCACACAUAGCAAACACAGAAAAUAAAUUUUAAACAUUUUUUUGACUCGGAUUCGUGGUCCCGAAACCACCGUUCAGACUAGGGUGAAAAAUCGAGCUGUUACAUGCUCUCUAUUAUAUUCCCAAAAAAUACGAGGGAAUUUCAAACUGGCACAACCUUGGCAAUUCCAACAAAAAUAGUAAAAUUCAUAAUAAUUUUUUUAUAAAAACAAAGUAAAAAUUACCACCAGAUCAAGCAGAAGAGGAUCGAAGGUCGCCAGUCUGUCCUUCAGCACAACCUCCAAUCACAUCCAAUUCGGGCCCAACUUGCGAAUUAACAAGGUUAACCAUGGAACUUAUAGCAUCUGACAAUGGAACUCGAGCAAUUCCAGCAUUUUUCAAUCUACCUCCUUUGUCCUUAAAAGAACGAUUGAGAGAGACUCCACCAUGAUUAUUACUAACUUUAAUCUCAGAUGCCCUCUGGAAACAAAGAUAGAUUUAUUAGCACUAACUAAAAUAUUUUUCUUGUUACCUUUAUGCGUUUUAUUCACAUUAUUAUCUUUAAUAAUAACAGCUGAAUGAUGUUUUGGAUCUAAAAAAUUAGCGUCUAAUUUAACCACAGAUUCAUUAGAUCCUUCGAAUAUGGGUUAUUCAGAACCAAAUUUUUCUCCAAAAGACCUGAAGGACCCAAAUGUUCCUUCCCAAUUUCCUACUCAGAUAAAAUAUUAGAAAAUCCGCCUACAUACUGAUUAUUUAAAAUAAUAUUUGGACCAUUUGAGGUUAUGUUAUACAAACCAUUGAGGAUUAACCCAUUAGUCAUUAAAGGACCCUUCAACUCAGCCCGUUCCUCACUUGGUCCAUCAGGUAAGACAUUCGAUGGCCCACAAGCUUGUGCCGCUCCCUCCUUUAAAUUUUCUACUCCUGCAGCCGGUGCAAAAGAAACAGAGUUAGAAAAAUUAUUCAUUCGGUCCUUGUUAUUUUGAAAUAAAUCAUUAGAUUCCACAGGCCUCUUUCCCGCUGACUUAGGCCCACUAUAUCCCUUAAUCUGACUUGUCUCAACACCUAUCGGGCCACUUGAACUUGAGCCCAAAUCCGGCCUGAUUAAAGCCGAAUCCACACCAGCUUCACAGUUCGCCACUUUUAAAUGGCCCAAACCCCCA